GGAAGGCCCUAAAAAUUGUCAAUGACUCCAGCCACCCAAGUCAUAGACUGUUCUCUCUGCUACCACACGGCAAGCGGUAACAUUGCGCCAAGUCUAGGUCCAAGAGGCUUCUAAACAGCUUCUACCCCAAACCCAUAAGACUCCUGAACAUCUAGUCAAAUGGCUACCCAGACUAUUUGCAGUAGUAUGAAAAAAAACACCCACACUAAAUGUAUUGCAAAUAGAAAGGUCACAGGCAAACUCUUGCAAAUGAGCUGCAAUGAAUGAAAGAAAGAGUUAAUCUGGAGGUCAAUGCAGUAUUGUGUGUAUGUGUGAUCUGUGUGGGCGUGUUCCCCUGUGGCUGACUGAGCAUGCCCACAGGAAGUCCAGUAAGAAGAGAGAGACGUUCAGCGCUGUCAUACAGCUCAGCGCUGUAUGACUCCCAAAGAGUCAUACAGAAACACCAGCAGGAGCAAUCUCCUCCUGUCUGUGUUUCCACGGUACAUCGCCAUGGAGCUGAAGACAGAGAUCAUCAAAUGACUGUCAGAGAAUAAAGACAAAGGACAGAACUUUCACAGUCUGUACAUGCGCCAACACAAAGACAUCAGGUCAGGAAAUGUGUCUGUACAUCCGCCAACACAAAGACGUCAGGUCAGGAAAUGUGCACUUGAAAGAAUGUGCACCAAUGAAUAUUGCUUUGUGUGAUCGUUAAGGACUUUUUAGAUCCUUGGUAUUUCAAAAAAGGAAAGGUGAUGAUGACAUUGCACACAGGUUGUUGCAGUCUUUUUUUGGCAGGUUUGCAUUUAUUGGGAUGAGUCUUGUCCUGGAGGCAGCUCUGCAGUGGUCACCAUCUGGCUUAGCCACAAAGUCAUACAAUCUGAUUUCAAACCUACAGUAAUCCUAGCAUUAACCCUAACCUCAACCACACUGCUAACUUUAUGCCUAAUCCUAACCUUAAAAUAAGACCAAAAAUCGAAUUUUUGUUUUUAUAAACUAUUUACGAUAUAGCCAAUUCUGACUUCGCAGCUUGACGAUUUAGCGGAAACCGCUCAAGAUUCAUCCCAAUAAACAUCAACCUGCUUUUUUGGGGGAGUUGCUAUCAUCUUCCCUUUUCUGAAACACCAAUGAUCUGUUACUUUGGCCAGCACACCUAAAUACUAUCAGAGGACUUAGCAGAGUCACAUUGAUUCCCCUACUGUAUCUACUUGGCUCUGUGUAAUAUUCUGUAUUCUGACAUCGUGGGGUUUACUAAGCUGGCCAGUACCUGUUCUCCAGAGGAGCUGGUGCGAGUCCUCAACAAACUCUUCAGCAGGUUUGAUGACAUUGCCAAGAUGAAAUAUAAUUUCAACAACAGCUCAAUAGAUCCCGAUGGCGUACGUUCACUCAAACACCAUCACAUACUAAAAACUCUCCAUCACUGACUCUCUGACUCUUUCUCCAUCUCUCUCUCUCCCCUCUACCUUCCCACCCUCUCCCCUUG